rnacentral:rRNA from 1 species
CGAUGAACCUCACUUGUGGGGGGAUUAGUGGCGAACGGGUGAGUAACACGUGAGUAACCUGCCCUUAACUCUGGGAUAAGCCUGGGAAACUGGGUCUAAUACCGGAUAUGACUCCUCAUCGCAUGGUGGGGGGUGGAAAGCUUUUUUGUGGUUUUGGAUGGACUCGCGGCCUAUCAGCUUGUUGGUGAGGUAAUGGCUCACCAAGGCGACGACGGGUAGCCGGCCUGAGAGGGUGACCGGCCACACUGGGACUGAGACACGGCCCAGACUCCUACGGGAGGCAGCAGUGGGGAAUAUUGCACAAUGGGCGCAAGCCUGAUGCAGCGACGCCGCGUGAGGGAUGACGGCCUUCGGGUUGUAAACCUCUUUCAGUAGGGAAGAAGCGAAAGUGACGGUACCUGCAGAAGAAGCGCCGGCUAACUACGUGCCAGCAGCCGCGGUAAUACGUAGGGCGCAAGCGUUAUCCGGAAUUAUUGGGCGUAAAGAGCUCGUAGGCGGUUUGUCGCGUCUGCCGUGAAAGUCCGGGGCUCAACUCCGGAUCUGCGGUGGGUACGGGCAGACUAGAGUGAUGUAGGGGAGACUGGAAUUCCUGGUGUAGCGGUGAAAUGCGCAGAUAUCAGGAGGAACACCGAUGGCGAAGGCAGGUCUCUGGGCAUUAACUGACGCUGAGGAGCGAAAGCAUGGGGAGCGAACAGGAUUAGAUA